UGGCCACCGGUCCGGGGGGCUCUGCAUUUUAAUUUAAUUUUAAAUGAAACUUCUUACACAUUUAAAACCUUAUUACUUUACUACAACAAUUAAUUAGUAUUAUAUAUGAUAGAGUGAGAGAAAGAGA